UUACCUACCUGGCACAGGGGUUAUGGUGAUCCUGAAGGCUGUUCUCCCAGGAGAAGGAUCUUUCAUUGCACAGCGGGGUGGCUGGCCUUUGCCAUUAUCCCUCAUGCGAGUAACUCGGGUGCAUAAUUUUUUAAUGAGCGUUCAGGCGGAUUAUGUU